AUACGUAGGGGGCAAGCGUUGUCCGGAUUUACUGGGCGUAAAGGGUGCGUAGGCGGUAUUUUAAGUCAGAUGUGAAAUAUCCGAGCUUAACUCGGAGGGUGCAUUUGAAACUGGGAUACUUGAGUGCAGGAGAGGAAAGUGGAAUUCCUAGUGUAGCGGUGAAAUGCGUAGAUAUUAGGAGGAACACCAGUGGCGAAGGCGGCUUUCUGGACUGUAACUGACACUGAGGCACGAAAGCGUGGGGAGC
rnacentral:rRNA from 1 species